rnacentral:rRNA from 1 species
CAGCCGCCGCGGUAAUACGUAGGGUGCGAGCGUUAAUCGGAUUUACUGGGCGUAAAGCGUGCGCAGGCGGCCCGUUAAGACAGGUGUGAAAUCCCUGGGCUCAACCUAGGAAUUGCGCUUGUGACUGGCGGGCUCGAGUACGGUAGAGGGGGGUGGAAUUCCUGGUGUAGCAGUGAAAUGCGUAGAGAUCAGGAGGAACACCGAUGGCGAAGGCAGCCCCCUGGGCCUGUACUGACGCUCAUGCACGAAAGCGUGGGGAGCAAACAGGAUUAGAUACCCUGGUAGUCCACGCCCUAAACGAUGGGUACUAGCCGUUUGGUGCGCGAUAGCGCUGAGUGGCGAAGCUAACGCGUGAAGUACCCCGCCUGGGGAGUACGGCCGCAAGGUUGAAACUUAAAGGAAUUGGCGG